GUGGAGUGCUCCUUCCAGUAUGGUUAUAGUUCAAUGGUUCGGCCUUUGCUUUAGUUGACAUUACCGACAUCGAGGAAGUUCGGCCUCAGCUUUAGCAUCCCCUUAAGGAUAAUAAAUUAAGAUAUGAAGUGGGAAACAAUAGCUAAAACUUUAAAUUGUACAGUCAAUGAAGCGAGAAAACGCUGGGAAUCAUUGCGAGGUCAGUUCUGUAGAAAACGUCGUCAGCAGAAAAACCAACCAUCAGGUUCUGGAACAUUGGCAGAAUGGCCCUUGAUGUCCCUUCUGUCAUUUUUUAGACCUCAUUCAAAAUAGGAAAGCAAGAAGUUCCUCACUUUUGCAGAGGUCAACCUUAAGAUGUAAUGAAAUCUCUAGUAGCUGCUCACCUGCCAUAAACUCACCUGUCUGACCUGUCUCAUCAUCUAGCGCAAACCGUGUGAUACAGUCACAAAAUACUACUGAAAAUUCCGAUUCCGAAUAUUUGCGUGGAAUGAUCAUGAAUCACAGAGCAUUGAAAAUAUAGAAAACAAAGAAAACACAGAAAAUGCAGAAAACAUUCCUACAGAGUAUGUAUUAUGUGAAGUUCCUACCAAAGAAACAGGGAAUGUUGCAAGUAUUCCACAGACUACAAAAACACCAAAAAAGCGAAAUUUGGUACCUCCUCUUGAUAAAGCGCAAAAUAAAAAAGCCUGUAAUAAACGCCUCGAAGCACUUCUUACAAAAUCGUCAAAAGCUGUUAGUGAUUUAACAGUAGCAUGCAAUAGUGCAACAGUCGAGGAGAAAAAACCAGUUGUUGGUCCAAAUGCAUAAAUUGCGCAAGCUUUAAAAUCAGUGGCGCCCGAGAACCAAUUAUCUUGCUUGAUAGCUGUAUUACAACUAAUUAACUCAUUUAACCAAUAAAUGUCCAAUGUUUUUUUAUUAAUGAUAAACAUAUUUUUUUAUGAAGUGAGAAUAUCUAUAUAUA